CAUAAGUUGUUAAAACAUUGAUUUAAGAUAAAAACCAAACUACAGAGCCGUCCGACGGUUAAAUCAAUAGAUUUAUCAAAACGGAAUCUUCCAAAAUCGUGAGUGUAAAAAAGAGUGAGCAUACCAAAGCGUCUGAUUUUUGAAAUUGACAUUACAAGGUUAUUGCAAAGGAGAACAACACACUUUUGAUGAAGACAUGGAUUAACUCAAGCCGGUAGUUAAAUCUACCACUACGCCUCCGAAAGCUGCCAUCGAUGUCAGUAUGUUCGGUCAGUCGAGUGGGUUUUCAGAUAUGACGUUGGUUGUAGAAAACGUCCGCAUCCCUGUCAUCAAGGCCACUUUGAUGGUGACAUCACCUGUGUUUCGAGCUAUGCUACAGGCUGAUUGGAAGGAAAAGGAUCAGAAUGAAAUCCACCUUCCAGGCAAACGAUUGGAAAGCUUUAAUAUAUAUUUCUCCGUUGUAUUUACCCCGAUCUUAAGGACCGAGUUACAGCAAAUAAUGCCACAAUCAUUCUACCAUUGGCAUCGGAAUAUCAAGUCGUCAAAUUAAUGGAGCAAUGUGAAGAUUGCCUGCUUUCCUUGAUUGAACAAAAGACGAAUCUGUACAUGUCAUGCGAAAGUCUUUGUAAAUAUUUAAAUCUAGCUGAAAACUGCGACCGACAACGGCUAAGAGAAACGUGCGCCGUUUGGGUUUCUACAUUUCCACUUCAUGACAGAAAGCGCUACAUUGCACAAUAUAAGAUAUCAGCACAAAGUGAGCUCCAGAUCUCAAACUUGGCAUGUACAAGGCAUGAAAUUUUUGAAGCGGAUGUAAGGGCACUACAAAGAGAACAAUCCAAAGGACCAACUUAUGGGAUUGUUAAAAAAAAUACUACAUUUCAGUUUUAAUACGAAAAAGAAAAUACCGUCGCCGAAGUAUUUACUGGUUUACGAAUAGCUUAUUAUUUCUAUGGACGACAAUCAUUUGAGUAUAAAUCACGCAUCGACAACAUGCGUGAUAUAAGUUCGAAAUAUCCUAAUGAUAUUCCCGUUUACAAUGAAUUUAAAACUCUUCCUCACGAUAUGAAAUUCGACCUCCAAGAAAUAAUCCCUGGUUUCCGAAAGAUAUAAAGCUCUGUUAGUCAUAUUGAAGAAUGUGAUGCGUAUAUAAGAGCGUUUCUUUUUGUAAAAUAUUCUAUAUUUACAGAACCUACAGGAUUUAUGUUGAAUACAUUUCAAAGAUACCGUAUUGUGCUAGGCGCAGAUAAUUAACUCUGCGAAGCGAGCAGUGUUAUAGUGUCGAUCAUGAUUAAUAUGCCAAUUUAUUAUAACCUGGUAUUGAUGUAUUACCCCCUCCCCCUCUUGUUUAUAACUUUGGAAUGAUAUAUACGAUAUAUUUAACAUGGCCUUCACGAAAUUCUCUUGAGAUACUUGGAUAAUCGUAGAAUAUAAUUCUUAACUAAGAUCAAAAACAGCGUGCACGAUUGAUAUGGACAUUUUAGGCGAUCUGUAAAUAUUCAAGACUAGGAAAAGCAGACCAGUCGUGUUAUCGAUAACGUGAUAGUAACAGCGUAAGCCACGAACAGCUAGUGUUCACUAGAUCGAGACUCACUCUUAACUGGAACUGGCCAAAAAAGCUCCCUAAAUGUGACCUUUGAUCUCUUGAACGGACGGACGCACGCAGGCACGGACGGACGCACGCAUGACGGACACAGGACCAUGACAUAAGCCCCACUGGCCUUUGGCCAGUGGAGCUAAAAAUCAAUUCAGGAAGGGAGGGAGCACCCCUCCCUAA